rnacentral:rRNA from 1 species
AAAUUGAAGAGUUUGAUCAUGGCUCAGAUUGAACGCUGGCGGCAGGCCUAACACAUGCAAGUCGAGCGGCAGCGGGAAAGUAGCUUGCUACUUUUGCCGGCGAGCGGCGGACGGGUGAGUAAUGCCUGGGGAUCUGCCCAGUCGAGGGGGAUAACAGUUGGAAACGACUGCUAAUACCGCAUACGCCCUGCGGGGGAAAG